rnacentral:misc_RNA from 1 species
CCGAGUUUACAACUCCCAAACCCAAUGUGAACGUUACCAAAACUGUUGCCUCGGCGGGGUCACGCCCCGGGUGCGUAAAAGCCCCGGAACCAGGCGCCCGCCGGAGGAACCAACCAAACUCUUUCUGUAGUCCCCUCGCGGACGUAUUUCUUACAGCUCUGAGCAAAAAUUCAAAAUGAAUCA